rnacentral:rRNA from 1 species
AGUGAACGCUGGCGGCAGGCCUAAUACAUGCCAGUCGAACGGAAGCACAGUAAGAGUUUGCUUUUACGGGUGGCGAGUGGCGGACGGGUGAGGAAUACAUCGGCAUCUACUUUUUCGUGGGGGAUAACGUAGGGACACUUAUGAUAAUACAGCAUAUGAUCUACGGGUGAAAGCAGGGGAUCUUCGGACCUUGCGUGAUUGAAUUAGAUGAUGUCGGAUUAGCUAGUUGGCGGGGUAAAGGCCCACCAAGGCGACGAUACGUAGCUGGUCUGAGAGGAUGAUCGGCCACACUGGAACUGAGACACGGUCCGGACUCCUACGGGAGGCAGCAGUGGGGAAUAUUGCGCAAUGGGCGCAAGCCUGAUCCAGCCAUACCGCGUGAGUGAAGAAGGCCUUCGGGUCGUAAAGCCCUUUUGUUAGGAAAGAAAAGCUGCAGAUUAAUACCCCGCUAUUCUGACGGUACCCAAUGAAUAAGCACCGGCUAACUACGUG